rnacentral:rRNA from 1 species
AUGAAAUGCCUGAGCUGGAACUGCCGGGGGCUUGGGAACCCCGAGGCAGUUCGAGAGCUUCGUAAAUUAACGAAGCCAGAAGGGCCCGCCUUACUUUUUGUUUCAGAGACGAAGAUCAGGGCUAGACGAGUUGAGAUUCUGCAACAAAGUCUUGGUUUUGCGGGAUGCUUUGCAGUGGAUAGUGAAGGACUUAGCGGUGGAAUUGGUUUGUUUUGGUCAAAUGAGGUGAAGGUUGAGUUAAAGAACUACAGUUCUGGACACAUUGACGUUAUGGUUCAGAAAGCUGAUAUGUCUACUCCUGAAUGGAGGUUUACGGGCUUCUAUGGUGCACCAAGGAGAGAAGACAGGCACCAUAGUUGGCGCUGUUUGAGGAUGCUGAAUGAUAUACCGCACCAGGCAUGGUUAUGUCUAGGUGAUUUCAAUGAUACACUAUUUGUUACCGAACACUUCAGCAGGGUUGCGCGACCGGAAGUGCAAAUGCUAGCCUUUCGGGAAGCAUUGGAAGAUUGUUCCCUGCAGGAUCUUGGAUUCUCAGGGGUACCGUACACAUGGGAUAACAAACAAGGGGGGUGA